AUAAGUUUGUUAGCGAAGAAAUCUUAAUUUGCGGCGCAAACUUUCAACCAUAGAGACAAGAAAAUUAAAACUGAAAAUGUUAAACAUUUCGCCUUUUGCGCUGUUCAUUUCCUUUAUAAUAAAAUCUACAUUCGUCCCGCUCAUUCUAAAUUACUUAGUGACAAUUGUUCAACUUUGAGGGGUUAACUAAGGACAUAAUUAGCUUCUGUUGGUAAGCGUUUUGGAAUUCAGGCCCCAAAAAUUCUAAAACAUGUAUUGGACUCAAAGCUACUUAAUCUCGGGUAAACGUAGCAGCCCUCGUGACGUCACGUCGUAUUGCCAUUACGGGAGGAUAACGGUGAAUUUUAUGAUGGCCUCAAAAGCCACAUGCUAUUGUGCUUCCGUAUACCCGGCAACCCUUAUAAAAGCCUUUCUACAAACAUCCGAGGUGCGAUAGAAUACCCAACUUUGCCAAUCAUGAGAACUAAGAUAACAUUGUGAGACGCCACUGAACUUUUGUCGUCGACAAUUUAUUCUAUGAGUUCAUUAGGUUUAUGGGCAUGGGAUAAGGUUUCGAUGUUAGUAGAUAAUUUUAUAUAUUUUAUU